GCCUGGGUGGCUCAGUCGUUUUAAGUGUCUGACUUCGACUCAGGUCAUGAUCUCACAGUUCAUGGGUUCAAACCCUAUGUCGGGCU
rnacentral:tRNA from 1 species